UGGAUACCUUGGCGUCAGCAGCCGAUGAAGGACGCAAUAAACUGCGAAAUGCCACGGGGAGUCGUUAUAGACUAAGAUCCGUGGGUCUCCGAAUGGGGCAACCCCGCUGAGUAAUGUCAGCGACGCACACCUGAAUACAUAGGGUGUGACGAGGUAAGCUCGGGAACUGAAACAUCUUAGUACCGAGAGGAAAAUAAAACAAAACAGUGAUUCCCUAAGUAGCGGCGAGUGAACGGGGAACAGCCCAAACCAGUAGGACGAAAGUCUUGCUGGGGUUGCGGGACUCUAUAAAGAAUUGAAGAAAGUUAGUUGAAGAGCUCUGGAAAAGGGCUACCAAAGACGGUGACAGUCCGGUAAGCGAAAACUUUCGACAUCUGGGAGUAUCCCAAGUAGUACGGGACACGAGAAAUCUUGUACGAAUCUGCCAGGACCAUCUGGUAAGGCUAAAUAACUGACUGACGACCGAUAGUGAACAAGUACCGCGAGG
rnacentral:rRNA from 1 species